rnacentral:rRNA from 1 species
GACGAACGCUGGCGGCGUGCUUAACACAUGCAAGUCGAGCGGUAAGGCCCUUUCGGGGGUACACGAGCGGCGAACGGGUGAGUAACACGUGGGUGACCUGCCCUCAGCUCUGGGAUAAGCCUGGGAAACUGGGUCUAAUACCGGAUAUGACUCCAUGACGCAUGUUGUGGGGUGGAAAGCCUUGUGCGGCUGAGGAUGGGGCCCGCGGCCUAUCAGCUUGUUGGUGGGGUGANGGCCUACCAAGGCGACGACGGGUAGCCGGCCUGAGAGGGCGACCGGCCACACUGGGACUGAGACACGGCCCAGACUCCUACGGGAGGCAGCAGUGGGGAAUCUUGCGCAAUGGGCGAAAGCCUGACGCAGCGACGCCGCGUGGGGAUGACGGCCU